AUGCUUGCUUGGGCAGCACAUAUACUAAAGUUGUAAUGAUACAGAAAAGAUUAGCAUGGCCCCGCACAAAGAUGAUACGCAAAUUUGUUAAGCGUUCCAUAUUAAA
ensembl:snRNA U6 U6 spliceosomal RNA